GGGCCCCUCGUUCAGUGGUAGGACACAUGGCUGGCAGUCAUGGAAUGAGGGUUCGAUUCCCUCGGGGUCCACCA
rnacentral:tRNA from 1 species